rnacentral:rRNA from 2 species
GAGUGGCGGACGGGUGAGUAAUGUCUGGGAAACUGCCUGAUGGAGGGGGAUAACUACUGGAAACGGUGGCUAAUACCGCAUAACGUCGCAAGACCAAAGAGGGGGACCUUCGGGCCUCUUGCCAUCAGAUGUGCCCAGAUGGGAUUAGCUUGUUGGUGAGGUAACGGCUCACCAAGGCGACGAUCCCUAGCUGGUCUGAGAGGAUGACCAGCCACACUGGAACUGAGACACGGUCCAGACUCCUACGGGAGGCAGCAGUGGGGAAUAUUGCACAAUGGGCGCAAGCCUGAUGCAGCCAUGCCGCGUGUAUGAAGAAGGCCUUCGGGUUGUAAAGUACUUUCAGCGGGGAGGAAGGUGUUGUGGUUAAUAACCGCAGCAAUUGACGUUACCCGCAGAAGAAGCACCGGCUAACUCCGUGCCAGCAGCCGCGGUAAUACGGAGGGUGCAAGCGUUAAUCGGAAUUACUGGGCGUAAAGCGCACGCAGGCGGUCUGUCAAGUCGGAUGUGAAAUCCCCGGGCUCAACCUGGGAACUGCAUUCGAAACUGGCAGGCUUGAGUCUUGUAGAGGGGGGUAGAAUUCCAGGUGUAGCGGUGAAAUGCGUAGAGAUCUGGAGGAAUACCGGUGGCGAAGGCGGCCCCCUGGACAAAGACUGACGCUCAGGUGCGAAAGCGUGGGGAGCAAACAGGAUUAGAUACCCUGGUAGUCCACGCCGUAAACGAUGUCUACUUGGAGGUUGUGCCCUUGAGGCGUGGCUUCCGGAGCUAACGCGUUAAGUAGACCGCCUGGGGAGUACGGCCGCAAGGUUAAAACUCAAAUGAAUUGACGGGGGCCCGCACAAGCGGUGGAGCAUGUGGUUUAAUUCGAUGCAACGCGAAGAACCUUACCUGGUCUUGACAUCCACAGAAGAAUCCAGAGAUGGAUUUGUGCCUUCGGGAACUGUGAGACAGGUGCUGCAUGGCUGUCGUCAGCUCGUGUUGUGAAAUGUUGGGUUAAGUCCCGCAACGAGCGCAACCCUUAUCCUUUGUUGCCAGCGGUUAGGCCGGGAACUCAAAGGAGACUGCCAGUGAUAAACUGGAGGAAGGUGGGGAUGACGUCAAGUCAUCAUGGCCCUUACGACCAGGGCUACACACGUGCUACAAUGGCGCAUACAAAGAGAAGCGACCUCGCGAGAGCAAGCGGACCUCAUAAAGUGCGUCGUAGUCCGGAUUGGAGUCUGCAACUCGACUCCAUGAAGUCGGAAUCGCUAGUAAUCGUGGAUCAGAAUGCCACGGUGAAUACGUUCCCGGGCCUUGUACACACCGCCCGUCACACCAUGGGAGUGGGUUGCAAAAGAAGUAGGUAGCUUAACCUUCGGGAGGGCGCUUACCACUUUGUGAUUCAUGACUGGGGUGAAGUCGUAACAAGGUAACCGUAGGGGAACCUGCGGUUGGAUCACCUCCUUACCUUAAAGAA